UGAAAAAUGCUUCAUCAGGACCUAGAACUAUUGAUUUCUUUUUCCACCAUCAUCCCUGCACUUUCUCAUGAUAACCAGCAGGUGGAGCGAUGACCCUCAAUACCUCUCAGUCUUCUCUCCACCAUGGAUAUUAAAUUUUUACUGGCAGUAAGAUACUAGCAUCAUAGCAGUUUCCUUUCCAUUUAAUCCUGUCCAGGGAAUUUCCAAAGAUGCUUGAAAAGGAAUAAAUGUCCUGAUUACAGCACUCUAUACCCAUCUAAAUCACACUUAAAACGAAAAGUGAAGACUUGGCAAUCCACAUACCUAUAUCCUAUUUCUUCUUGUUUCUUCUUGCAAAUUCCAGGUAUUAGAACUUCCUCUCACCACAUAAUGCAUAACCUGUCCUUACUCCACUUUCUCACCAAGUUUUGAAACCAGACAAACCAUAGGACCAUGACAACAGCUUUAUUUGGUGGAGACAAAUGAUGUUGCUAUGCCCAGUGGUUAUAUAGGAAGGAAAGUGAUAAGAAAUGAGAAUUUUCCAAAAGUAUCUUUAUUCAGCAGUUGAUCUGCUUCAUUGAACAAGAAAGAGCCUAGGACCCAGGCUGGAGAAGCCGCCUGAGCUUUAAGGACUGGAUCUUUUGCUACUACUCCCGAGAGAAGAAGAGAGACCCUUCUAGAUCUCUGCAUUUACUUUCCCUGCUCAUCCAAUGGCAGCUGUGAGGACCCAAGACACUCACAUGUUGCAUCUGUGUUUCUCCAGAGGCUUUUGGAUGGCGGCUCUGACCGUGAUGCUGGUGGUGCUGAGCCCUCCCUUGGCUUUGGCCAGGGACACCCCACGUAAGUACCUCUCUUGGGAGUUGAUCUAUCAUGGGGUGGGGAAGGAGGGGAGUUGCCAUUUUACUCUGUCUAGGCCAUGUCGCUGAAAAAAAUUGUGACAUAUUCUUCAGUGACCACUGAUCUUUAAUCAUAUGGAUCCUCAAUUCUUUCCACAAUUCAGAAGGGUCAGUGCUUGCCUUCAUUAUGAGAGUUGUAUAAGUUGCCUCCACAUAUGUUAACCAUUUUUUCAACUCUCCUCCAAUAAAAUCUUGCCAGCCUUGCA
rnacentral:lncRNA from 1 species